AGCAGCCGCGGUAAUUCCAGCUCCAAUAGCGUAUAUUAAAGUUGUUGCAGUUAAAAAGCUCGUAGUUGAAUUUCGGGAUCAAUAUUUCGGUCAUGCCGUUGGUAUGCACUGUUAUCAUUGAUUUCUCACCUUCUAAAGAACCGUAAUGCCAUUAAUUUGGUGUUACAGGGAAUUAGGACUGUUACCUUGAAAAAUUAGAGUGUUUAAAGCAGGCUCACGCUUGAAUACAUUAGCAUGGAAUAAUGAAAUAGGACGUUUGACCCUAUUUUGUUGGUUUCUAGGAUCGACGUAAUGAUUAAUAGGGAUAGUUGGGGGCAUUAGUAUUCAAUUGUCAGAGGUGAAAUUCUUGGAUUUAUUGAAGACUAACUACUGCGAAAGCAUUUGCCAAGGAUGUUUUCAUUAAUCAAGAACGAAAGUUAGGGGAUCGAAGACGAUCAGAUACCGUCGUAGUCUUAACCAUAAACUAUGCCGACUAGGGAUCGGAUGAUGUUAAUUUUNUAAUGA
rnacentral:rRNA from 1 species